rnacentral:rRNA from 1 species
CAGUCGCCGCGGUAAUACGGAGGGCGCGAGCGUUACCCAGAUUUACUGGGCGUAAAGGGCGUGUAGGCGGCCUGGGGCGUCCCAUGUGAAAGGCCACGGCUCAACCGUGGAGGAGCGUGGGAUACGCUCAGGCUAGAGGGUGGGAGAGGGUGGUGGAAUUCCCGGAGUAGCGGUGAAAUGCGCAGAUACCGGGAGGAACGCCGAUGGCGAAGGCAGCCACCUGGUCCACUUCUGACGCUGAGGCGCGAAAGCGUGGGGAGCAAACCGGAUUAGAUACCCCAGUAGUCCCUGUCUCUUAUAA